rnacentral:rRNA from 1 species
GACGAACGCUGGCGGCGUGCCUAAUACAUGCAAGUAGAACGCUGAAGGAGGAGCUUGCUUCUCUGGAUGAGUUGCGAACGGGUGAGUAACGCGUAGGUAACCUGCCUGGUAGCGGGGGAUAACUAUUGGAAACGAUAGCUAAUACCGCAUAAUAGUAGAUGUCGCAUGACAUUUGCUUAAAAGGUGCAAUUGCAUCACUACCAGAUGGACCUGCGUUGUAUUAGCUAGUUGGUGAGGUAACGGCUCACCAAGGCAACGAUACAUAGCCGACCUGAGAGGGGGAUCGGCCACACUGGGACUGAGACACGGCCCAGACUCCUACGGGAGGCAGCAGUAGGGAAUCUUCGGCAAUGGACGGAAGUCUGACCGAGCAACGCCGCGUGAGUGAAGAAGGUUUUCAGAUCGUAAAGCUCUGUUGUAAGAGAAGAACGAGUGUGAGAGUGGAAAGUUCACACUGUGACGGUAUCUUACCAGAAAGGGACGGCUAACUACGUG